CCGGAUAAGGUCAGAGCUCUGGUUUCGUUGAGCGUCUAUUAUAUGGUCAGGGAUCCGGCCAGGAAUAUGGUUGAGGCUCUGCGGGCUUUUUAUGGAGAUGAUUACUACAUGGUCAGGUUUCAGGUUCGUCAAGUUUAUCACUUUCAAUAUUUUGCUUCAACUUGUUUGUGUAUAUAUGUUCAUAUAAUAAGUAUGUAAAAAGUGUUACCUAUCUAGCUCAUCUAAAACCCGUGUCAGAGAAAGGUCUCGAUAGGAUCUUAUGCUACAAGAGACAUUAUUCAACGAAAAGACAUUCCUGUUACGGUAUAGGCAUAAUCUACAAAGAUGAAUACGAUGAGAUUAAGGAUCCUGGUUAGCCAAAACUGAGUCUCCCGCAAAACUGAGCUCUGAUACAAUAUUAAGUAACUAAUUCUCCUAAAACCUCGAGGCAUUAGAAGGAGGGCUUACCAGGAUCAUAUUAUAUUAUAACAGCCUCCAAAUACAGAAUUGAUGCCAUCUCCUCGACUCUGUUCCCUGAACCUUAAUCAACCUCCCAAGAAUGAAAAAAGUUAUGUGAUUUUUUGGUUAUCGUUAAGAGUCUUAGACAGACUGGAUACAUCACACAGAAGAUGCUAUUUGUUUAGAAAAUUUAUAGAGGACAAAGCUGGAGAAGGCAGAUUUUCCGAUUAGAUAGAAUCUGAUAAGAAACACAUAUCUUUCUUUGCGUGUCCCCUUAAUAAAACUACAGAAGUGUCCGGCCAAAAAUCCUUGACGAGGUCUAAAAAAGGAGAUAAUCCUGCAUAUCUGCUCAGUUAAAAAAAUUCAACAUAUAGAAUAGAGAUCAUUGCUGGCCCCUUUUAUUAUUAGAAGAAGUACUUUACUAGAAGAGGUGUGUCAUUCUUGAAGAACACAUUAAAGUCCAUGGGCACCUUUUAUUGAAAGACAAAUGCCUUCAAACAAAUUUCAAAUUAGUUGCAGAACACACAAAAAAAUUGUGUACACAAAUCAGAAUAUGCAUCAAAUUACAUGCCUAGUUAUUUAGUACUUACCCAUAACUCGUGGCACGAUUCAGAACUUGAUAUCAAAGACACAUUAUUCCUAAAGGCUUGCAGUUAAAAUUCAGUGCAAGCACCCUGUAUAUGUGCAAACGAAGUUUUCACUUUUCACCUCAAAGAUUUGCGGUGGCAAUUCUCCUACUGUCAAGCUAUUCGUAAUAAUUUCAGUUGAUACUAUCUUUUCCUGUCUCUUCCAACUCUCACUAAUGGAACCAAAUGCUAUCGUUUCAUGUAACUAAUGGUGCAGGAACCAGGAGAUAUGGAAGCUGAGAUCGCUGAUAAAAUUGGUACUAAAACAUUUAUCAAGAAGUUUCUGUCACACCGUGAACCUGGUCCAUUCUUUUUCCCCAAAGGUGCAGGAUUUAAUGGAGACUCAACUGAUUCUCCCCUGCCUUCUUGGUUAUCGGAGGAAGAUCUUGAGUAUUAUUCAACCAAAUAUGAGAAAACCGGCUUUACUGGUCCCAUCAACUACUAUCGAGCUCUCCCUCUGUAAGUUAACUAGCUCACUUUUGUUUCUGAAUUCAAUAAACAAUAACUUACUGCAACCAGAAAUAUGUAGUUUUUCUUCAUUUUUUUUUUAAAUUUUGUUUUAAUAAAUUGUUUGGUCUUGUAAGGUCUACUGAUUCUUUCUAUUUUCAAAUGCCUGUAGAACUUGGGAGAUUACGGCACCAUGGACAAGCGCUCAGGUAAUGGUACCAACAAAAUAUGUCGUCGGAGAUGUUGACUUGGUUUAUCACAUGCCUGGAGCCCAAGACUUUAUACACAGUGGCGAGUUCAAGAAAUACGUGCCAUUGCUGCAGGAAAUUGUUGUGAUCAAAGGUGCAGGCCACUUCAUCAAUGAAGAAAAGCCCGAUGACAUUAACC
rnacentral:lncRNA from 1 species